rnacentral:rRNA from 1 species
GACGAGGUGGAGCGAACCCCUAAAACGACCAUCUCAGUUCGGAUUGCAGGCUGCAACCCGCCUGCAUGAAGUUGGAAUUGCUAGUAAUCGCGGAUCAGCAUGCCGCGGUGAAUACGUUCCCGGGCCUUGUACACACCGCCCGUCACACCAUGGGAGUCGGAAAUGCCCGAAGUCAGUGACCCAACCGAGAGGAGGGAGCUGCCGAAGGUGGAGCCGGUAACUGGGGUGAAGUCGUAACAAGGUACC